UACAGAGGGUGCGAGCGUUAAUCGGAAUUACUGGGCGUAAAGCGUGCGUAGACGGUAGCGUAAGUCUGAUGUGAAAGCCCUGGGCUCAACCUGGGAAUUGCAUUGGAUACUGGCAGGCUAGAGUGCGGUAGAGGGUAGUGGAAUUCCCGGUGUAGCAGUGAAAUGCGUAGAGAUCGGGAGGAACACCAGUGGCGAAGGCGACUACCUGGACCAGCACUGACACUGAGGCACGAAAGCGUGGGGAGCAAACAGG
rnacentral:rRNA from 1 species